UCGGACCAGGCUUCAUUCCCCU
rnacentral:ncRNA from 3 species